rnacentral:tRNA from 2 species
GCCCACAUAGCUCAGUAGGUAGAGCGUAUCCUUGGUAAGGAUAAGGUCACCGGUUCGAUCCCGGUUGUGGGCUCCA